AGCGAACGCUGGCGGCAGGCCUAACACAUGCAAGUCGAACGGACCCUUCGGGGUUAGUGGCGGACGGGUGAGUAACACGUGGGAACGUGCCUUUAGGUUCGGAAUAGCUCCUGGAAACGGGUGGUAAUGCCGAAUGUGCCCUUCGGGGGAAAGAUUUAUCGCCUUUAGAGCGGCCGCGUCUGAUUAGCUAGUUGGUGAGGUAACGGCUCACCAAGGCGACGAUCAGUAGCUGGUCUGAGAGGAUGACCAGCCACACUGGGACUGAGACACGGCCCAGACUCCUACGGGAGGCAGCAGUGGGGAAUCUUGCGCAAUGGGCGAAAGCCUGACGCAGCCAUGCCGCGUGAAUGAUGAAGGUCUUAGGAUUGUAAAAUUCUUUCACCGGGGACGAUAAUGACGGUACCCGGAGAAGAAGCCCCGGCUAACUUCGUG
rnacentral:rRNA from 1 species